AUUGAACGCUGGCGGCAGGCCUAACACAUGCAAGUCGAACGCGUGGCGGACGUGUGUGUAAUGUCUGGGAAACUGCCUGAGGGAGGGGGAUAACCACUGGAAACUGUAUCUUAUACCGCAUCCCAUCAGGUGUCACCAGAUGGGAGUAGCUAGUUGGUGGGGUAACGGCUCACCAAGGCGACGACCCCUAGCGGGUCUGAGAGGAUGACCAGCCACACUGGAACUGAGACACGGUCCAGACUCCUACGGGAGGCAGCAGUGGGGAAUAUUGCACAAUGGGCGCAAGCCUGAUGCAGCCAUGCCGCGUGUAUGAAGAAGGCCUUCGGGUUGUAAAGUACUUUCAGCGGGGAGGCGUUACCCGCAGAAGAAGCACCGGCUAACUCCGUGCCAGCAGCCGCGGUAAUAC
rnacentral:rRNA from 1 species